CUCUCAAUUAAACUUGAAUCAACAUUUUCCAAGUAUGUUUGCUUGCUUAAUUUGGUCCUGUCAAUUUCGUUGAAGACAAUUUCCCAAAUUUUUUUACAUAGUCCAACAUAAAACUCUAAUCAUGGCCUUUAGCUUGUCCUAAAUAAACAAGCUGGGGGGGGGGGGGUUCCAUACUUUAAAUAUACUUGAUUCUAAGUUAAAAAGGAUGUUUGCAUAUAAGUUUGUUAUGUACUCUUGUGAAGAGUUUUGAAGAAUGAUUAAAAAUUUAUUUUCAUGUAACUUAUUAAGACCUUUUAGUGUUCCCAGCCAAACAUGGUGUAUUUUAGUAAAAAAAAACAACCAACAACUUUAAAUCAUUUAUAACUUUCUUUGUAGAGGAACAGCUAUCAUUGAGUCCAUACCAUUGGUUGGUCAAUUGAUCAUUCCAAAAUCAGUGCCUCUUAACUUGAGAAAAUGUUUUAAAAUCUUAUAUAAAACUUUAAACCUUCAAUUCACCUUGCUGAAUUUUUGUAUUAAGUAGUACGUUUAGGCUUUUCUGGUUCAUUGGAUCUUGAGAAGAAUUCAAAACACAUGCUCUAUUUUCACUUUCCUCCACCAGCAGAAAGAGGCAAUGGCCUUUCAUUUAGUUAAAGACUUAAAUCCCCUUCAAACAAUGACGAUUUGUGCCGAGUACAACUGGUUGAAAUUGGCCUUGUGUUCCUAGAGAGAGGUGGAUGAAAAUGUAAAAAGAUAUUUUAAAAAGCAAUAUUAAGAGAAGCUUGAUUGUCACAACAGACAGGUGAGCCAAAACUGGAAGCACACGGACACUCGGGUCUCACACUGAACAGAUGAAGUCCAAUCGAAGUCUCUUUGACUUCUUACAACUAUACAUUCCAAAUUCAUGACUCUAUGUACAUUAAAUUUAAUUGUUCAUCAUAAAUCUAGGCAAACAAGUAGACUAGUGUGUAAUGGCUGCGACUCUGAACAUAGAUGUUUGAAUUGUGCAUUGUCUCAAAAUUGAUACAUUAUGCUGAAGCCAGAUUCUUAUUCUCUUUUCAUUUUCCAGAUCACUCUGAGACUUAGGAAGUCAAUCACCACUAAUUCCCUCCCUAUGGCAAUUUAUCCCAGAACAUCUUCUCCCUGUCAAUUCUGAUCCUCCAGACUUACUACACAGUAACUGGAGUCAGGAGGGAAAAAAUCACACAGAGAAAAUCGCAUAAUGAGAGGGUAUGCGGCGAAAACAUCUCGUGCUACCUAUAGCUCUUAUUCUCAUUCAAUCAUUGAAUGUCGUUGAAUAAGAGCGAUUAUAAAACUUUUACAUCAACUACAAUAUGAUCCAAAAGAUAUCCCAUCUUUUCAAAAACAGAACUUUUUUGGACGAAGUGGAGAAAGACAAGGAUGUGGUAAUUAAACAUCGUGUAACAGGCUGGCCAGUGUGUGAUCUAACAGUCACAGACCAGGAAACAGAAGGAUCACACCACACUUACACACUUAGAACAAGCACCUGGUAGCCCACAGUUCCUACCUAUAUACAGUGAUGUGGCAGUUACAGGGAGCAGUAUAGUUAAUGAGAGCUUUUAUUAAUGAAUCCAGAAGUUGGUCAUAUAAUGGCAGCUUUCUUGUUGGUGAUUUUUUAUUGGGUAACAUUUAUUUGACAAUCCAAUUCUGUUAUAAUGGAUAUAUCAGUUAAAACUUUAUUAAAACUUUAUACUUUUAUCACAAAUCCUUCUCUUGUCACAGUCAAUGGUUUAAUGUAUACAUGUAAAUGCAACUACAGUCACUAUUCCCGACAAUUUUUUUUACCUAAAUGGUUAAUGUUCAGUUAGUUGUGCAAGUUGAGAUUGGAAAAUUUCACUUAUCAGUCUAUAGAGUAGAAAUUUUGGUGACUGGCAGCUUAAGGAAGCUAUUGACAUGAAUUAGAAUAGACUCUAUUCUCAGAGUCCAUGGAAAGUAGAUAAACUUCGACCAGCUUCCUAUGACAUAUUACAGAUAACUUCUAGAAUAUCCCAAAACUUCUAGUAUUUGAGUCAGAUAUUCCCUUGUCAUUAAUUCAAGGUGCAUUAUAAGCAGACUGCAAUUGGACAGUCCACAGAAGACUGAAAUUGGAUGGUCCAGACUUUGACCAGAGCCAGCUGAUAAAGCACUGGUAUUUCCAAGAGAUAACAGUCUCCCCCUUGGUGUCUGUGAAGUAGCUGGCUAUUUAGCCCCUGCUUAUCUCCAUUCCAUCAAACUGUUGUAUCACCAGCAAGGACUCAGAGGAUGUUAUCUUAAACAAGCUUACACUGCAGGAUACACCUGAUAAAAGUCAUGUCAACAUUAUCAUCAAGCCCCCAGUAAUCUCAGCAAGAGGGGGCCUCAGGUGAGAGAUCAGGUGAAAUCGUAAUCAGGCAUUAAAGACAAGAUUUCUGCAAGGAUUAACAGUGCCAGAUUUACAAGCAGCAAUUCUAUUUGACUUCUUGUUCUUGAGAAUCAUUCCAUUCCCAACAGACUUCAUGGAAACAAUACGGAGUCUAGUAACACCUGCGAUGAUGAUCGAUGAUGAUGGCGAUGAAGAUAAAAUGAAGUAGACUCUGAAGAUACUACACUGAGUGAUAAUGCAAUAUACAUAUACAUAACACACAGAUUAUGUCAACAUUAAUGCGUGGAAUAUGUUUUAAAGUUUACACCUCUCAUUGGUGACUCAUUUCCAUUAAUUAUUUAUCAUGAUACAUAACUCCGAUUAAUGACACAUUUUACUACAUUAUGUAUACGAAAUGCUUUGUAACAACCCUAAAAUACUUAAUUCAGCGAUAUUAGGCUGUAAUGCAUAAAAACUUCUUGUUGAUCCAUGUACUGUUAUCUAUCUAUUCAUAUUCAAUGUGUUUGGGACUCAACUAAGCUAUGUCUGGAGAGAGAAAAAAAUAGUUCCUGGGUUCACACACAAGAGUUUAAUGACAAUCUAUACAAGGUAUUGAUUCUUUACACGGAAAAAAAAAAUCAUUCUGGGCCUGU